UUUUAUUUGAGAGUUUGAUCCUGGCUCAGGAUGAACGCUGGCGGCGUGCCUAACACAUGCAAGUUGAGCGAUUUACUUCGGUAAAGAGCGGCGGACGGGUGAGUAACACGUGGGUAGCCUACCCCGUACACACGUAUAACAUACCGAAGGUUAUGCUAAGACGGUAUACAAUGUUUGAGAGGCAUCUCAUAAAUAUCAAAGGGGAGCCAGUACAGGAUGUACCCGCGUCUGAUUUGUUAGUUGGUAAGGUAACGGCUUACCAAGGCGACUAUCAGUAGCCGACCUGAGAGGGUGAUCGGCCACAUUGGAACUGAGACACGGUCCAAACUCCUACGGGAGGCAGCAGUGGGGAAUAUUGCACAAUGGGCGAAAGCCUGAUGCAGCAACGCCGCGUGAGUGAUGAAGGCCUUCGGG
rnacentral:rRNA from 1 species